rnacentral:rRNA from 1 species
AGCAGCCGCGGUAAUUCCAGCUCCAAUAGCGUAUAUUAAAGUUGUUGCAGUUAAAAAGCUCGUAGUUGAAUUUCGGGGUCAAUACGUCGGUCGUGCCUUCGGUACGUACUGGUGUUAUUGAUCUCUCCCUUCUGACGAAUCAUGAUGUCAUUAAUUUGGUGUCGUGGGGAGUCAGGACUGUUACUUUGAAAAAAUUAGAGUGUUUAAAGCAGGCUCACGCUUGAAUACAUUAGCAUGGAAUAAUGAAAUAGGACGUUCGAUCCUAUUUUGUUGGUUUCUAGGAUCAACGUAAUGAUUAAUAGGGAUAGUUGGGGGCAUUAGUAUUCAAUUGUCAGAGGUGAAAUUCUUGGAUUUAUUGAAGACUAACUACUGCGAAAGCAUUUGCCAAGGAUGUUUUCAUUAAUCAAGAACGAAAGUUAGGGGAUCGAAGACGAUCAGAUACCGUCGUAG